rnacentral:rRNA from 1 species
UAGUAACUUACUAGAGAGUUGGAUAUUACGAGCAAUAGCUUAAAAACCCAAGAAUUUGGCGGUGCUUUAUUCAAUCAGGGGAACCUGCUUUAUAAAUCGACAGUCCACGAAUAACUUACCUAGCUUUGAAAUAUCAGUUUGUGUACUGCCGUCUUCAUAGACUCUCAUAGAAAUUCUAUAAAUAUAAUUGUAUAAAUCUUACGUCAGGUCAAAGUGCAACCUAUAGUUAGGACUUAGUGGGUUACAUUCUUUAAAUAGCUCGGAUUAAAUAAUAUAAAAAAUUUAUAAAGUUGGACUUGAAAGUAAUAAUAUCCAUAAUAUUAUGAAUAAGAACCUAAAGCAAGC